GGUCUUAUAUUCAUAGUAUGAUAUUAGAAUGCAAUUCUAAAGGUGUAUAAAUUAUUAAGACUU
rnacentral:tRNA from 1 species